GUCCCAAUGUGAAACAGCCGCGCCCCUCUUGGCAUUGGCCAAGUCUUGCACAUGACACCUGCGAGGAAUUGAUGCAACAACGAACCAAUCGGAGGACAGAAAAGCACACGGUUACAUCCAGCGGCAUUCCGAACACAAACUCAAUCUCAUAACCAUGUAAAAUACCCAUCCAUGCCGGCCAAGGAUUUCUGGAAGACCGGUGGUCGAAGGAAUAUAGGAACAUUUUACCGCCCUGAUAUUCCCCAGGGAGUCACGACUUUUCAUCCUGUUAUGCUCAUCCGUCCAAUCGGUGUAGUGAAAAACUGCUCCUUCUUCUACGACAGCGUCGACGUCCGCCAUUGCCAGCCGCACUCCUUCCAUGAACUCCUUCCUGGUGAUGAGACUCUCACCAGUGUUGCUAAAUCCUGGCAUCCCAUAAACUAAAAAGAUUUCCUGCACCCAAGCCUCCUUUUAGGUUUCACAGUCUGCAGCAAUAGCCGGCCAGGACAUCACUCAUCUCCUUGUCUUCCGUUGUGGAUUUGGAUAAGCGCAUCGCCAUGCUGAAAGUGACCGCCACCUUCCCAGUAUAAAUGUUUCAUUGUGGGACAGAGGUUAUAAAUCAGAACAGUUUAGCAUUUUUUACAAUGACCGUUCCCACUGAGGGGACAAACGCACCAAUGCCUUGCCAGCGAUUUUACCCACCAGAGCACAACACAGCCACUGUAUCUCCUCAAGCUGGGGUCAAGCGUUCAAAUGUAUAAUUUCCACUUGAAGUACACCACAAAUGGACUUGUCCAUGGUACAACUAAGUACGACUCCUCCAACUCGAUCAUUUAUGUCCAAAAGUCUUUCAACCAUUUGUUACUGCGUGUUUUCUGAUGGCUAAAGUUCUUCCCAACGUUAUGUAAAAGCAAGUUAAAUCAAGUUCUAUCAUUUUCAGACUGGAACUGAAAUAUUAGUGUUUAAGCCUCUUUUUUUUCACAUAAAAUCAAGAAGACUGAACAGAGAGAGAAAUACUGUAAUAUUGUAUUGAAUUGCUGUAUUGAUAAAGCUGAAAUAGCCAACAUUAAUAACAUGAUUUACACGUACAACUGGAACUGCUCAACAUGAUGAUGCAUUCGAGCCACUAUUAGCUUCUCAAGCUCUUGGAAUGAAAUCUCAAGACUGGAGUCUUUCCCGAUUACCCAGGACUGAUUAGACUAGCAUCUAUUUUAAUUUGGUUCCCCUCCCUGGCACGCUUCAUUUGGUCGGAUGUGAAAACAGUAAUCAAACUUUCUGUGGAGAGUGUCACACAGUUCAGUUGUGGUGAGACAAUGUGACCUUGAAUUGAUCUGGGAAGCAAAUG